CAGUUCGGAUUGAAGGCUGAAAUUCGCCUUCAUGAAGCUGGAAUUGCUAGUAAUGGCAGGUCAGCAUACUGCCGUGAAUACGUUCCCGGGCCUUGUACACACCGCCCGUCACACCAUGAGAGUUGGAAAUACCCGAAGCCUGUGAGCUAACUUUUAGAGGCAGCAGUCGAAGGUAGAGCCAAUGAUUGGGGUGAAGUCGUAACAAGGUACC
rnacentral:rRNA from 1 species